rnacentral:rRNA from 1 species
GCUUUAUACAUGCAAGUCGAACGAUGAAGUUCCUUCGGGAAUGGAUUAGUGGCGAACGGGUGAGGAACACGUGAGAAACCUGCCUUUCAUUCUGGGAUAACACCGGGAAACCGGUGCUAAUACCGGAUACUCCAUCUUGGCGGCAUCGCCGAGCUGGGAAAAAAUUUUGAUGAAAGAUGGUCUCGCGGCCUAUCAGCUAGUUGGUGAGGUAAAGGCUCACCAAGGCGACGACGGGUAGCCGGCCUGAGAGGGCGACCGGCCACACUGGGACUGAGACACGGCCCAGACUCCUACGGGAGGCAGCAGUAGGGAAUAUUGGGCAAUGGGCGAAAGCCUGACCCAGCGACGCCGCGUGAGGGAUGAAGGUCUUCGGAUUGUAAACCUCUUUCAGUAGGGAAGAAGCGAAAGUGACGGUACCUAAAGAAGAAGCACCGGCUAACUAUGUGCCAGCAGCCGCGGUAAUACAUAGGGUGCAAGCGUUGUCCGGAAUUAUUGGGCGUAAAGAGCUCGUAGGUCGUUUGUCGCGUCGAUUGUGAAAAUCUGAGGCUCAACCUCAGACCUGCAGUCGAUACGGGCAAACUAGAGUGUGGUAGGGGAGACUGGAAUUCCUGGUGUAGGGGUGGAAUGCGCAGAUAUCAGGAGGAACACCAAUGGCGAAGGCAGGUCUCUGGGCCAUAACUGACACUGAGGAGCGAAAGUGCGGGGAGCGAACAGGAUUAGAUACC